UGUAGGCGUAUUAUGUGCGCAUAUGAGGGAGAGGCGGGAGACAGCAGCGGGGCGGUCGCACCGCUCCCUACAGAAGGGGUCUGUUUUACAUGCUGAGUCUGAGCCAGACCCCAGCCCUAGACUUGCUCCCUGCUGCUCAGCUGCAGGUGUUCUGUCCUCUGGCCAGAGACUGGAAGUGUUCUCUAUGAAAUCUGACCAACCCAAGAGAAGCAACCUACAACAUGGACACCAGGUGGCACCCAACGAACAGGAUAACCAGAGUGGGCCCUGGGAGCUACACUUGGAGUCUGAGGGACGAGACCGCAACCUCGGAAGCCUGGGAGCUGGGCAGCAGAGCAGCAGGAGAGCCAGGCGCCAGCUCCCCGGACUACAGGAACAGCAGACAAUUGUCUUUCCCCAGCUGGGAAGAGCACCGACCUCAUACUCCUGGCCUGUAGGUGCAGAUCCAUAGCUGGUGCAGACCCCUAUUGCUGCCUCUCACAGACAGCCCUCUCGCCCCAUCAGAAGGGUCUCUAGUGCCCUCUGCAGGUGGCUGCCCUUUCCUGGGCUGUGCCAUGCUGGAGCUAAAUACAGACUUUCAGUAGCAGAAAAUCUGGAAACCCAGGAAGGGGGAUGCAAACUCCAAUGAAGAAGCUGGAGUUCAGGAAGGGAAGGGGACUCUCUUUUGCAUAAACAGAUAAGUAACAGGGAAUCCCAGACUUCCUCGGGGGGGCAGGCUGUGUGUGUACCCCAAACAUUCCAACCAUGCUGUCUUUACUGAGCCUCAGCUCUCCCUGCCUCCAGUUCUUUGCACAUGCUGUUUCUCUGCCAUGCGUGUCCCUUGGCCUUGGCUGCAGCCACACUUGGCAAGACCCUUAUCUUCCCUCUAAACCCAAGGAGGACAACAGCACCCCCUCAUCGGCCCCUACACACACCACCUGGGAACUACGUAGCUCUGCAAGGCUCCGUGGACACCUUGUCUCAUUUUCCCACAGGUCUGUGAGCUCUGCUGGGUCUGGGACAGGCCAUGCUAAUUUCUGUACAUGAUCCCUUUGCAACCCCAACCUUAGCACUAGGAUCUGUGUCCUGAGCAAGUCAUCAGCCUCUUUUCUUCUGUCUUGUCUUACGCAGUGUGAGAGUAGUAGUGAAGGUUGGCAUUAACAGGAAACCACUGAGGCAUAAGGACAACAAGAAGGGUCGGGGGGUCGAAGAGCCCUAAGAAAGAGAGUGGGGACUGCAGAACUUCCCCUCAAGAGGGAAGUAGGAUCUGAGAGGGUCCUAAGGACAUCUGCAUGGACUAGCUGAGCCCCAAGAGGGUAAGAGAGGGCUGGUGAACCCCAAGGGGGUCAGAGCAUGUUGGGAAGUUCUCUGGAGGUGGGGAAAGCACUGAGCCAGGCCCUAAAGAAGGAAGACAACCUUUCAAGAUGAUCCACAGGGAAGGAGGAAUGUGUCUGGAGGAGAGUGAGGAGAACAGCUGCACACAGUGUUCAGGGAAGAGGACAGGAAGGAAGCUGAAGCAUGAGUCAGAGAUGAACCCAGCAGGGACAGGUGGAUGGGUGGCCCGGAGGUAGGUGGCCCAUAAUGGUCAGCACUGAGCAGGCAGUUGUGAGCUCCUGGCUCAAUCACAGGCAGCUUCUCUGAGACCAUCGAGUUUCUGAGGACACAUGCAGUUUUCAGGAAGUGGACCAAGCACCUGUCCCCACCCCACCUGGCAGAAGCCAAAGGAGAAGAGUGCAUACUUUGAAUGGCUGGACCAGAACCCAAAGGGGAAAGUGAGCAUCCAGCUCCCAAGAUCCUUGAAGCUGAGCAUCCUGGAAACUUCUAGAAGAUAUCCAAGGCUCACCCAGUUCUCCAAAUUUGGCUUGUGUAGAAGACACCAGAAAGCAACCUGAGUUCCUGAGACUUCUGAUCACAGCAGGAACCUAGGCAAAGAUGGGAGGGCUUCCUCCUGAGGCAGCUGGAAAAUGCCAGGCCAACUCCACAGUGUACGGAAGCCUCCAUCUGCUGUGUGUUUUGAAUGCCAACUCAAGGGUCAGUACAGAUCACCAUGGCUCAGACUGUAUGCACUAGAGGAAGGGUUGAGCAAGGGACAUGGAGGGAAAGAUGUCCCCAGAACCCUUGGCUUGUGUGGCUUUGAAAUCCAGGACACUGCGGCCAGCUUGCUCUCUCAGGAGACAGUAGCCAGUUCCCAGCCACGACUCAUGUUGGGAUGGGUGAGAGACAGAAGCAGACUGAGGCUCCCAGGGUGCUCACUGAAUAAGGGAAUGAGGGCUGGGCGCAAGGAAAGACAGUACCCAGUUGUUCCCCAGUGGCAGGACCAGGAGCUGGGAGAGAGAAAGUACAUGUGUAUGUGCAAGGCAGAGAGGGGAAGGAGAGCGCUCUGUCUCUGUGGGGUGUGGAAGCGCAGGCAGGGUGGGGGAAGAGGUCCUCCUGCAGUCUAGCACACAGUGGGAAACUGGUCUAGAGGAGAUUACUUCCUGACUUCGUUUCAAGCUUGGGUACCGGAACCCUGUGCCAGAAUUAGGGGUGGGAUGUGGAGUCUGGGUACUUCUGGAAGGGGCAUAUCCAGAUCAAUACCAAGAGAGAAGACAGGCACCCAGCUCGCCAGAAGAGCCAGCCUGGUCUGCAGAAGCUGAUAGGGGCUGGGGUGGGCAUGGCUGUCCCGGGCCAUGCAGAAUGUAGAGGGUUGGGACUGAGGGGUCAAAAGCCCCCCAAAAUGGUACAGAAGUCUGUGCACCAGUGUGGUGGGCAGAAGCAGUGGACCAGGGCUGCAGGGAUGAUGGAUCAGAAUAAACUAGGCCACCUCUAGUGCCUCCUGGGACGGGGUAGAGCAGAGCCAGGAGUGAAAGAGGGCAAGAUUCCUCUCUGAGGCUUUGGUGGGGUGGAGCACAUUCAUGGGAAGGGAGAUUUUCUGGGUGGGAGCAGGGAAUCAGAGCCUGGUGGGUAGGUAAGAAGGCUGCUAGACGUUCCCAGCAGAAAAUCACUCAGGGAAUCAUUAAUGGUGGCUGAAGCUGCCCUUCCUUCUGCAGAGCUCAGCCUGGUUAGGACUCGAUGGGUGCAGAGCUGUAGGCAAAGAAGUUCCUGGAAUUGAAUGAGAAAUCUGUUUUCCCCUAUCAUUAGACUGGGAGUUGACCACCGAUGCAUUGGAAAGCCAGAAGUGUGUUUUUCCUUUGUAAUGGUAACUUCUGGAUCUGAGAAAGAUGUUGGCUGUCAGGUCUGCAGACCAGAAAAUAACUGCUCUGCCUCUCCCCUGGAGUUACAGUGCUCAUUUCAAACCUUGAAAGACAUAACUGCUUGUUUUCUUUCAGAACCAUACAGCAGGAAAGCUUUUCUAUUUGGCAGGAAGGGCAGCUUGCUUCUGGAAAUCCAUCAGACAGCCGUUAGGCCGUUAGGCACUCAGCCAUGUAACACCCUCAUUCCUGCACCACGCGGUGGGCAUGGAAAUGGAAUGGAAAGGCAAUGGGAAUGGGAAGGAGCUGGGUGCCCCAGUAUCCUCUGGAAGAAGGCACCAUGGGUAGAACCUGCCCUGCCCUGUGCUUCCCAGGGCCAGCAAGAGAAAGGAGUACAAACUCAGACAGGUCCUUGAAGAUCCAAUCAUCCAGUUCAUAGAUUGGAAGACUGAAGCUCAGAGAGAGAAGGAGCAGCUGAGGGUCAAAGUAAGGUAGUGACCAUGCACAGUGGAGCCUUGGCCAACAGUUAGGAAACCUGGCUUCUGACCCAAGGAAGCUUGUGUGAGCUGAGCAGCUGAGACCGUUCACCUGCCCUCCUUGGGUACAUGGUCCAAGGAAGGUGCCUUUCCUUUAGCCCCAUCUCCUGAGGAGGACAUCUUAGUCCUCAUUUCCAUUUUUGGUCAGGAAAGUACUGUGGGUUAUCCAAGUUGUGCCACCAUGGCCAUGCAAAGUGGUAAAUAGUCGGUGUUGAAGGCUUCAGUGCUGUGGUCAGAAGUGCUGGGUACUUUCCUAUCUCAGUUUCCCAGCCUAUGGCAAGGAAAGAAAGUAGGCAGGAAGCUAAAACUAAGGAUUCUGGGCUUCAUCAGAAGUCAAGUGUCCAAUUAGAGGCAAAUGUGCAGCUGUCUACCUGGGCUGGCUCCUACAAAUGCUUCUGGCCUUAACAUUUGCUGCUUCUCACUACUGUCCUGAGACUGCAUCUCUGCUCCUUGCUUUACUUGCUUCUCAGCUCCCCUCUCUUCAGGGAGGAGGGGCCAGGGUUCCUCUGCAGAGAUGGGCUCACCUCUCCCCUCAGCCAUGUGGUUCACAAAUAGAAGCACACAACAUUGCGUUUUGUACUCUGCUAAUGAUUGAGUUACUUGGAAAUCUUGUCCACAUCUUCCAUGGGGACAGAGACAGUCUAUGUGUGAUGCUCAAUCCCUAGUUCUAGCACAGCACCCAGCACAUACUAGGUAUUUAACAAAAGUUGCAAAAUAAUUAAAUUUAUUAGCAUAUUGCAGAUGCAUGAGCUGAGGCUCAGAGAAUUUAAGAAUUUUCCCUAUGAUCACAUAGUAAGCAAGGGAUAGCCUCAUUUUCCCUCUGAGUUGUGCAUGUUUGCCAAGUAUAGGAGACUGAGUGAGGACAUGUGGCCCAUGUGAUUUGUAUAUACAGCAGUCUGUGCACCAAAGAGAAAGGACCAGCAAAGCAUCUCCUGAAGUGUACAUUCUCCAUGGACAGACAGACAGGCAGGCAGGCGGCAUGCAUCUGUAAGCUUUGAUCAGAGGCAUGUCCAGUGUUGAGUGAGAAUUAUACUGAGAUUCGGGCAGGUGAUAUAUGGCCUCACCCUGGUACACAGGGGACUCUCAGUGACAGGCAAUUUCCAUUCCUAAACUGCUCUAGAUCUGCAGAAGGAAGAUCUUUCUUCCAUUCCACUUCCAAGACCUCUCGCUGCCACUGCCGUGGUGAGAAGAGGGACCUUUCAGGAACCAGUCCUGUGUGGUGUCAGCACAGAUCCUUGCAGCGGGGCUAUUUGAAGACCCAGGCUGCCCGCAGCACCUCCCCACCUGCCCGCUGUGAGACAACCUGGCUCCCAGAAUGCUCUGUUGCUUUCCUAGAUGCCCCUCCCCCACUUACCCCUCUCUCCCAUUUACUUUCCUCCAGCUGGUCUCAACAGUCCCUCAACGCUAGACUCUCUCCUAGGCACUGUGGAGCCUGGGUCCAGCCCAAGACUGUCCAGCAGUACUCCAUUCCGUGCAGUCAUUCACGAAACCGCUAUUUCAUGUGCACCUACUGCUUACAGACCACGAGAAGGGAGAAACAAACAGAUAACUCCCUGUGCUCUGUAUGAGACUUCAUUUUUUACAUUGAGAAAAAGACACCCAUAAAAGAAAAUCAAAGGAAAAAGUGAGGAUGUCUAUCAGAAGGCAGAAAGUUAGGGAAUAUAAAGCAGGACACAGGGUGGCUGUGAGUGAAAGUUGAGUUUCUCCAUGUUUAACAGCGUGAGUCUCUACCCAGUACCCAGUAGCAGGGCCCGACAUGAGGACUCAGGCAUGCAAUAGAUUGAAAGAAGCCUUGGGAGAGAGAAAAGGGAGGGAGAGAGGGAGAGAGAGCUAAGCUGGACUGGAGUCCAGCUUUGCCCACCCCUCCUCACAGGAGCUCUGGGGCAUGGAAUAUACAUACUUAGUAUGUAUAUUCCCCAGAAGGCUUUUGUCACACCGGAUCAACCAGGGUCAUCUGACUCCCCAGCCUCUGGUUACAAUUGUACCUCAAAGAUUAUUUCUUUAAUGAGGGACAGACCCUUCUAACCCAUAGCAAAUGACAAGCUACAUAAGAUCCUGAAUGAAUAGAGCACUGCAAUGUAUAAAAAUACAAUAAGCAAGAUAAGCAAAAGGAAGACAUGACAAUAUGGGCAAAACAGGUGACAGAAAAUCACCGGAGCACAGAGUGCUUGCAAGGAACCAAACACAGAACAUCUAUGCAAGAAGCCACCCUAACACUUCAGGAGCCCCCGCCCAUCCAGAGGACACUCAUACGGGCCUAGAUUGUCAUCAAGCUGCCAGGAGGUACCAAAAGGUUGUUCAUGGGGUGGGGUCUUUUCAGAGAGAAUAAGAAAACCUAAAUUACAAACACAGCUUCAGGUGGGAGACGCAUCCUGGGCUAAAGUUGGUUUUGUCUCCAUCCCCAGAAAGGCAGCCCUUUGCCAAGCAAUUAGGGAUCCCAGGAUGGAGGUCAAAUUCUCACAGGAGCUGUGUCUAAUGCAGCCCCAGAUGGUGGGUUGUCUCAACUGCCACAUGUCGGCAUUGGAGGGAAAGUUCCUGGACACCAACUAUCAUUUGCAUAUGGAUGUGUAACUGCCAGUGUGACUGCAGCCAACACAAUGGCUAUUGGCCACUUGGUUCAGUUCUGGUUGUGUCACUGCUCAAUAGGGAGUUAGUGGUGUCAAAGCACCACCACGUUAGUCAUAAUUAAAAUACCAAUUUACUUAGAUUCACAAGAAUCAUAACAACAAAACACACAUCACGACACUGCACUCUGUCAGUCAGCACUUGCCUGUGGCCCACCCACCUGUGGAAGAAAGAAAGGCAGCCAUCCCUCCACCAAGGUCAGGUCCAGGGGCAGAGGUGAGCUGGAUGGGGCCAUGAGCAUCCACUGCACUGUAACAGGGAGGGAGGGCUUCCGAAAUCCAGCCAUGGAGGGACUCAGGCCUCUUAUUCACCUGCCCUCUUGGUAAGCACCUGCAGCAUGGGCCUAGAGGAGAACCAUUAUCUGUGAGCCUACUGCCACACGGGCUGAAAAUCAAGCACCCUUCCCCCAUCUGCCCUGCCUCCAUGGCUACUGGGGAUAGAUAUCUCAGCAUCUCUUGGGAGGAUGACCAUAUGCAGUAUAGCAAAUAUGGGGGAUUUCCAUCUAUCUUCUGUUUGAAGGAAUAGGUUGUUUUUACUGUUUUGUUAUGUUUCUUUUGCUCUAUUAAGUAUUCUCAAUUGGUUUUAUAAUGUUCUAUUUUUGGUUUGAUUUUGAUAUACCUAAUUGACUGGACAACUAUUGUGAAGUUAAAGAGAUACACUACAGUACCUAUUACUACUAUCCCAGUAUCCUACUGUGAAAUCCUGUACCAAUUUCACUGCAUUGUCUCGA